rnacentral:tRNA from 1 species
GAAGGUGUAGCUCAGUUAUAGAGCACGUGCUUAGCAUGCACAAGGUCCUGGGUUCAAUCUCCGGUACCUCUA